AAGGUUGGCGCGGGGAAGACCGGCGGGAGGCGCGCCCCGGGCCCGCGGCGCGAUCGGCGUGACCGGCAAUGGCCGGUGAGCGGACCCGCAGGUUCACCCGGAGUCUGUUGAGACCUGGGCAGGCGGCCGAGCUCCGGCACAGCGCCGCGUCCGCCGCCGCGGUGGCCGUCAGCAGCCGGCAGCAGCAGCGGCAAGAAAAGCCUAGGCUUCUCGAGCCUUUGGAUUAUGAGACUGUCAUUGAAGAACUUGAAAAGUCCUACCGGAAUGAUCCUCUUCAAGAUCUCCUAUUCUUCCCGAGUGAUGACUUUUCAGCAGCCACAGUUUCCUGGGAUAUCCACACGUUGUACUCAACAGUACCUGAAGAUGCAGAGCACAAAGCAGAAAAUUUACUGGUGAAGGAGGCUUGUAAAUUUUAUAGUUCCCAGUGGCAUGUGGUAAACUACAAAUAUGAACAAUAUUCUGGAGACAUUCGACAGCUACCCCGAGCAGAAUACAAACCAGAGAAGCUUCCUUCACAUUCCUUUGAGAUUGACCAUGAAGAUGCUGAUAAGGAUGAAGAUACCACUUCCCACUCAUCUUCCAAGGGGGGUGGAGGAGCGGGAGGAACUGGUGUUUUCAAGUCCGGCUGGCUCUACAAGGGGAAUUUUAACAGCACCGUGAACAACACCGUUACUGUUCGGUCAUUCAAAAAGCGCUACUUCCAGCUGACUCAGUUGCCAGAUAACUCCUACAUUAUGAAUUUUUACAAAGAUGAGAAAAUAUCCAAAGAACCCAAAGGAUGCAUCUUUUUGGAUUCCUGCACAGGAGUGGUGCAGAAUAACAGACUAAGAAAAUAUGCCUUUGAAUUGAAAAUGAAUGACCUGACCUAUUUUGUGCUGGCAGCUGAAACAGAGUCAGAUAUGGAUGAGUGGAUCCACACCCUCAACCGCAUUCUGCAAAUCAGUCCUGAGGGGCCCCUCCAAGGGAGGAGGAGCACAGAGCUCACUGAUCUGGGUCUGGAUUCGCUGGAUAAUUCUGUAACUUGUGAAUGCAUGCCAGAGGAAAUAGAUUCUUCAGAGAACAACCUACACCCAGACUUUGCAAAGUACCUCACAGAAACAGAAGAUACUGUAAAAACAACUCGAAACAUGGAGAGGCUAAAUCUGUUCUCUCUAGAUCCAGACAUAGAUACCUUGAAACUUCAAAAAAAAGAUCUCUUGGAACCUGAGUCUGUGAUCAAACCAUUUGAAGAAAAAGCUGCCAAGAGAAUCAUGAUCAUCUGUAAAGCCCUCAACUUAAAUCUUCAGGGAUGUGUUACGGAGAAUGAAAAUGAUCCGAUAACGAAUAUUGAGCCUUUUUUUGUGAGUGUGGCACUUUAUGACCUCAGAGAUAGCAGGAAGAUUUCUGCUGAUUUUCACGUGGAUCUAAACCAUGCUGCUGUCAGACAGAUGCUCUUGGGGGCUUCUGUGGCUUUGGAAAAUGGCAACAUCGACACCAUCACUCCAAGACAAUCAGAAGAACCUCACAUCAAGGGACUUCCAGAGGAAUGGCUAAAAUUUCCAAAGCAGGCUGUAUUUUCUGUAAGCAAUCCACAUUCUGAAAUUGUUUUGGUGGCCAAAAUCGAAAAAGUCUUGAUGGGAAACAUUGCAAGUGGUGCCGAACCUUAUAUUAAGAACCCAGACUCCAACAAGUAUGCACAAAAGAUACUAAAAUCCAACAGACAGUUCUGCAGCAAAUUGGGAAAAUACCGUAUGCCUUUUGCUUGGGCAGUAAGGUAUGUUGACAGUUGCAACCAACAGACUAGAAAUACAUUUAAUGGUGGCAUUGGAAGCUUCAGUUUUGAACGUUUUUGUGUUGCCUAUUAUUUUUAAUGUGUCUACACCUAGAAAAUGCUAAUAUGGUCAUCUUCAUAAGCAUCUUGAGUUUCUCUGAGACAUACAUUUCACAAGACAGUUUAGCAAUACAGUUUAUAAUAGAGGGCCGUGACACAUGUACUGUGCGUGCAUGACCAGAUAUGCUAUGGGUUCUUGGUAGAUAUCAAAUCAAUGUCAUAAAUUGUUUAUUAUGUAUAUUUGACUUAACAAACCUUUGACAUUAUGUCAGUCCUGAGAGUCUGGUGUGCCUAAAAUUCAGAUAGAUCCACUAUGAUUUCUUAUGCAGCUGCUUGUUUUCAUCUAUGCGUAGAGCUCAGGUCUGUAUAUGGACGUCCAAAUGAAACCAUCAAACCAAUCAUUUAAACUCAUUUUGAUUUUGAUACUGUUUAGCCUAGCCAAAUUUAUCAGUACCAGUUGCCUCUCUGAAAGAAAGGCUGAGUUCUGUGGACAUAGAUGGACACAUCAUUCACUUGGAUGCAUAACCUCUUCAUGAAGAACCAUAAUUACUUUUCAGAACUGUUUAAUCAUCAAUUAUUAUUGUCCUCACCAAUCUCUUUACAUCUUUAUUAGUAUAAGAAUUUCUUAAGUGAGGAAGAGCCUGGCAUAGACUCAUAAGGCUAAAAGGUCAUCAAUGUACACAUUGAAUGAACUAAGAAAGGUUAGAGCUACUGGCCGGGCAUGGUAGCUCACGCCUGUAAUCCCAGCACUUUGGGAGGCCAAAACAGGCGGAUCCUGAGGUCAGGAGUUCGAGACCAGCCUGGCCAACAUGGUGAAGCUCCGUCUCUACUAAAAAUACAAAAAUUAGUCAGGUGUGGUGGCAAAUAAGACAGCCCAUCAAGUAUUCAUUUGAACUUUGGUAACAUUAUCUCAAUGUAUCCAACUUUAGAAUCCAGAAGGAAGAGAGAACCUGUUAAUAAUGCCAUUUUUAAGUCUCACAGUUCCUAGUGAUGUAUAUUCAGAGUAACCUCACCAAUAUUUGUCAUAAUUUUGAGGUUGUUAUUUAAAGUUGGAGAUGAGGAGGUGUAGGAAGGAGAAAUGUGGAAGUUUAGGCAGCAGUAAAUCAAGAUAGAUUCAUGCAGUCUCCAGGAAUUAGUUUGCCCUAAGGCAGCGUCAUAGCAAGGGAAGGAGAGUCCAGGCCUGGGAGUCUAAUAAACGUUGCAGAUCAGGCCACUACUUACUGUGACUUGGAACAAGUUUCUUCUCCAAGUCUCUGGGUCCCCAGCUAUAAAUUGAAGCUGGCAAUGCCUGCGUUAUGAGCAGUAUGUGCAAUCUCAAGUGUAGAAGCAUUUGGUGUAAAAUAGCUCAUGGAUAGUACUUUAUCCUCCCUUUUCUAUCUCUUUCUAUAGGAACAACUAAUGCCAGGACAUUCUGCAUGAAAAAGAUGGUAUUUAGAUUUACAGAACCCUUUAUAAUGAAUUUGUUUUUCUCAUAAACUUUAAGACAAAGGCUAACUAAUUAUAAUUCACUGAUUAAACAUUUUUGGUAUUGUUAAGCAUUCUCAGUUCCCUCCAGAAAACCUACUGGGGCAAGUAGAGGCAAGAUGUCUGUUGUGAAAUAUUCCAGUAUAACAAAAUUACAAUAGUGCACACAUUUUUCACUUUAAGGAUCCAACAUUGCUCUGAGGUUUUAGAAACAGGCAUUUUAGAACCAGACAGAGCUGAGCUCAAAAUCCUAACUCUGGCCAGGCAUGGUGGGCCAUGCCUAUAAUCCCAACUCUUUAGGAGGCCAAGGUCUAAUGGAGGUUCGCUUAAGGCCAGGAGUUCUAGACCAGCCUGGGCAACAUAGUGAGACCCAAUCUCUAAAGAAAACUUUUAAAAAAUUAACCAAGGGUGGUAGCAUACACCUGUAGUCCUAGCUACUCAGGAGGCUGAAAUGGGAGUAUCAGAAUCAUCAGAGAUGAGCCCAGAAGCUGGAAGUUGCAGUGAACUAUGAUAGCACCACUGCACUCCAGCCUGGGCAACAGAGUAAGACCCUGUCUCU
rnacentral:sRNA from 1 species